rnacentral:rRNA from 1 species
UUGGCGGACGGGUGAGUAACGCGUGGAUAACCUGCCGUAUACAGGGGGAUAACACUUAGAAAUAGGUGCUAAUACCGCAUAAGCGCACGGUUCCGCAUGGAACAGUGUGAAAAACUCCGGUGGUAUACGAUGGAUCCGCGUCUGAUUAGCCAGUUGGCGGGGUAACGGCCCACCAAAGCGACGAUCAGUAGCCGGCCUGAGAGGGUGAACGGCCACAUUGGGACUGAGACACGGCCCAAACUCCUACGGGAGGCAGCAG